rnacentral:tRNA from 1 species
UAGAAAAUGGUGUAGUGGAAGCACUUGGAGUUUUGAUCUCUAGGGUAUGGGUUCGAGUCCCUUUUUUCUAG